rnacentral:lncRNA from 1 species
GAAUGCUAACAAAGUUGGAUGGUACGGUACGUUGGAAAAUGAAGAUCGGUUAAAUUAGGAAGGGAAAUUAUUUGGAAGCUAAUGAACCUACCGGGAACUACUAUAUCUUGAAGGAAAGAGUUUUUAUUAUUAAAUUAGUAGAUAUAGACGUGACAAAAACCCGUAUAACAAACAAAUUUAUCUCAUGAUGAAAAAGGGGAAGAUGAUUAAAAAAAUAGCAAACGAUUUUGAGAAUAACAGGUAGACGAUCGAUCGUCAAAAUUCAUCAAAGAAUUUCUAUGAUAUAUUGAUGGAAAAAAAUUAAUAACCAACUCAUGAUAAAAAGGGGAAGAUGAUUGAAAAAAUAGCAAACAAGUUUGUGAAUAAUAGGGUAGAUGAUUUUCAAAAUUCAGCAAAUAAAAGGAUGGAUAGGCAAAUUUGGCAAAUAAGUUUCC